UACGAAGGGGGCUAGCGUUGUUCGGAAUUACUGGGCGUAAAGCGCACGUAGGCGGACAUUUAAGUCAGGGGUGAAAUCCCAGAGCUCAACUCUGGAACUGCCUUUGAUACUGGGUGUCUUGAGUAUGGAAGAGGUGAGUGGAAUUCCGAGUGUAGAGGUGAAAUUCGUAGAUAUCUGGAGGAACACCGGUGGCGAAGGCGGCAUCCUGGACCGGCAUUGACGCUGAGGCGCGAAAGCCAGGGGAGCAAACGGG
rnacentral:rRNA from 1 species